rnacentral:rRNA from 1 species
AGUGAACGCUGGCGGUAGGCCUAACACAUGCAAGUCGAACGGCAGCACAGUAAGAGCUUGCUCUUACGGGUGGCGAGUGGCGGACGGGUGAGGAAUACAUCGGAAUCUACUUUUUCGUGGGGGAUAACGUAGGGAAACUUACGCUAAUACCGCAUACGACCUACGGGUGAAAGCAGGGGAUCUUCGGACCUUGCGCGAUUGAAUGAGCCGAUGUCGGAUUAGCUAGUUGGCGGGGUAAAGGCCCACCAAGGCGACGAUCCGUAGCUGGUCUGAGAGGAUGAUCAGCCACACUGGAACUGAGACACGGUCCAGACUCCUACGGGAGGCAGCAGUGGGGAAUAUUGGACAAAGGGCGCAAGCCUGAUCCAGCCAUACCGCGUGGGUGAAGAAGGCCUUCGGGUUGUAAAGCCCUUUUGUUGGGAAAGAAAAGCAGCAGGUUAAUACCCCGCGGUUCUGACGGUACCCAAAGAAUAAGCACCGGCUAACUUCGUG